GUUUUUUCCCUCUCUAAGAUGGCUCUCAAUUUCUGAAACCCUUCACAUUGCAAUACCAAAUUCUAGGGCUCAAGUGUUUCUCCAAAAUACAAUUAUUCUCGACCCAAGGCUUUCCUCUCACGGUCAACAAUCCUCGGCAAAGGCCUGAAGAAGGUUUGAUCCUCAUAAGCCAGUUAUUGAAGGCAUUGCUAGCUGCAUUCGUAGUAAAUUUGAGCUGGCUAAACCUUCUUGGAAGAAAUUCCCACAACCUACUCGGGAUAUGUGGUUUGAAGAAUUUAAGAAGAAAUUUAGAUGGCUCCCUCACUAUAAUGAUGUUAUACGACACAAUUUUGAGAAAAUGGCAUCUUCAAAAAUAAUCUAACGUUUCCAAGAUGUUAGAAAGGACUUGUCUGUGAAGCCAAAUUGGAUGGGUGAUGCCGUAUUCAAGGAGAUGAAGGAGCAUUGGGAGUCUCCUUAAUUUAAGUUAAAGUCGGAACAAAACAAAAAGAAUCGUGAUGCAAAUGCAGGUGCCUCGGUUCAUACAUGUGGUUGUAUACCUCAUCGCGUAAUUUGGAAGAGAAUGAAGGAAGCUAUGGGAAAAGGUCCUUCAUUUUAAGAAUUUUAUUUUCGCACUCAUCGAUAGGAGAAAGAUAAAAGUUGGGUAAAUGAGAAAGCUGAAGUUGCUUAUAUUAAUUUUGAAAAAAAAAAGAAAGAAGAAUUAUUAGCUUCCCAAAGUGCAUCUGUUGAUGGAGAAACUAAUUCAGCUAGCGAGCUUUCUCAAUUAAGUGAAAUGGAUAUUUGGGUGCUAUCAGUUGGUGGAAAGAAAAAAGGAAGAGUCGCAGGUCUUGGCUCAUUGGGUCGAUCUGUAAAAGUGACUAAGCAAACAACAUCUGAUGUGUCGGAAGAAGUUGAUGAUCGGAUUAGAACGUAAAUUCAUGCGUUAAAUGCUGAGUUAUAUAAUCAGUUGGAAGAGGCACAAUGCCAAAAUGAAGAGAUGAGGCGCCAAAAUAAAAAGAUGAGAUGCCAAAACAAAAAAAUGAGAAAGGAGUUAGGUGACACAAAUGAGAAAUUAGCAGCACUGAUAAAGCAUGUGGGUUACCCGACAUUAUCUUCGAAUGCACAACCAUCAUCUUCAAAAGACAAUCAAGAUUCACAGAGUGAUAAUGAUGAUAACAACAACUCGAUAGAUGAGUAAGAUUAUGAUUGAGAUACUAAGUAUGAUUAGGAUUGAGAUACUUGGUAGUACUAUUUAAGAUUUACAAUUUAGACUUAUUAUUUUUGUUC